CUGGGAACUUCAGCCUUUUCCUUGGACUGAAUGCACUCGCUUUGCUUCGUGGCGUCAAAAGUUAAUUCUUCAUAGUACCUCAAGUAGAAGUAAUUAAUCUUCCUCGACGCUGCAGCUGGGGAGAGAACCAGUCUGAGGCUGCCCUAUCAAGGAGACUGAAGGAUUUUGUACUUUUCGAUGAGGUCACCUCCAACACUGUUAAAAAUGGCACAGCAAACUUAUAAAUCCAAGGACGUGAAAGACUGAGUAAAUAUUAACAAUCAAUCUUGUCCAAUCCCUAAUGCCUACCUGCGACUUUUCUCCUAUACAUUAUUCUCCUGUGGAUGCAGCAUGACUGGAGGAUAAAUUCUGUCUUUAAUGGAGGAGACCAGAGGGCGACCUUCAGCAGCGCAGGUUUUGAGUGCUUGGCUCCUGAGCAAGAUCGACUGCGCUCGCGAGGAGACUGAUAGGCAAUGAUGAGGCUACUGGCAAAGAGGUGCUGAACGGGGAUUGGUUGAUGGUGACAAAGCAAUUCCAGUCAGAAUCCGAAUCAGGUUGAAUAUCACCGGGGUAUGUCGUGAAAUUUGCCGUCUUUGCGGCAGCAGUAUGAUGCAAUACACAGAAAAGAACCAUGAAUUGCAGGCAUCCAUAACCUUCCAGGACUACAUAUUCCAAAUACACAUUGCCCUCUAAGGGAAGAAAUUAGUUUUUGUCUCAAUCCUAACAGUCUACCCAUUAUUCCAAGAUUGUGGACCCUGGUUCUAAACUCUUUGGCCAGGACAAAUAUUUUCUAUGCAUUGAGCUCUUCUAAAGAAUUUUGUAAAUUUUAGAGAAGUUUCUACUUAUUCUUCUAAACUCAAUACAAGUUGAAUUACCUGAAAUUCCAAAAUCAGGAAAUCUCUGAAAAGUGAAAGUUUUUGAGCACUGACAUGAUGUCACUAAAGGAAAAUUCCACAAGACACUGGGAAUGUUCACGAGUAAUGGACAGGUGUCUGCACACCAUACACAGUUCUGAGAAGUGACCUCAUAUAUGUAAUGAGCUCAAGUUAACGAAAAAUAGAAAAUCCCUGCAUAAAGUGAAAAAUGAAGAUCUCGAUUGUGUAUUAAAGGAGUGGAUUCAUCAGCGAUGGAGUGAACACAUGUAAUUGAAGGUGGUUGUGAAAAUUCAGCAGGCUGCUUGCAGAAAUUUAAUAAAAGGCACGGCCUUAAAUUUUUAAAGAUUAAAAAAGUUUCAAACAUAAAGCAUCUGCUGAUCACAAAGCAGCAGAGAAAUUCAUGGAUGAGUUUGCAAAGAUUGCUGCUGAUGAAAAUCAGAACGAGUCUGUAAAUCUACAAUGCUGAUUGUUUUAUGCCUUACAUAAAAACUAAAGAAGUAAAGGACAGUGUACUGAAACCUUUUAAUCAAAAAAUAGUAUCGUAGGUGGAGACUGAAAGCCUGCCAUUGUUUAUUGUUGUUUAACAGCUGAUUCAGAUAAUCUCCCAUAGCUGCUGAGCUGCUUUUGCUAUCCUGCACACAUUAUAUUGAUUGUAUGUAAUAAUUUUUGCUGUUAAGUACAUAUAUGUGAUGUACAACAGUAAAUCAAAGACUAUUUACCAGUAGCACAUAAAGUCAGAGUCAGAAAUGACGGUGAUCACAAGCUAUCUCAUUAUAUAUCCUAAAAUAAAAAAAAUCAGGAAGAGUUCCAACCCCAAGCAUUUUGGACAAGGGGUGUUCAACCUUAGUGGUUAUCAUAAGGCAAACCACCUACCUGUAAAAAAACUGACAAGUUUUAAGUUUUUUUUUGAAUAAAUAAACUAAUGCUGUAA